CCCUCGAUAGUUCAGUUGUAAAAGCAGGGCAGAUAUUAAUGGCGCUGGCUCAAAUCCGGCUCGAGGGA